GAAUUUUGGGCAAUGGGCGAAAGCCUGACCCAGCAACGCCGCGUGAGGGAUGAAGUAUUUCGGUAUGUAAACCUCGAAAGAAUGGGAAGAAUAAAUGACGGUACCAUUUAUAAGCUCCGGCUAACUACGUGCCAGCAGCCGCGGUAAUACGUAGGGAGCAAGCGAUGUUCGGAUUUACUGGGCGUAAAGGGCGCGUAGGCGGCGCGGUAAGUCACUUGUGAAAUCUCUGAGCUUAACUCAGAACGGCCAAGUGAUACUGCUGUGCUAGAGUGCGGAAGAGGCAACCGGAAUUCUUGGUGUAGCGGUGAAAUGCGUAGAUAUCAAGAGGAACACCUGAGGCGAAGGCGGGUUGCUGGGCCGACACUGACGCUGAUGCGCGAAAGCCAGGGGAGCAAACG
rnacentral:rRNA from 1 species